rnacentral:lncRNA from 1 species
GAGGCAGCCAGCAUCGCUGCGUCCCGCGUACCAGUCUUUCACCACAACUUUUGGCUGGGUUGUAUCCAUCAGCUCUUCCCAGUAGCCCUCAGCUCUAAGGUCAAUGACCUGAGACUUUCGACACCACUCAUAAGAUGUAACAAAGUAUUUAUGGACUUCUUCACUAGGGAAUUCUUUUCCAAAGUCCCCAGGGAGCUCUUCAAUUUUCCAGCCGUCACCUCCAUUCUCUACCUCUCCCCA